AUGGAACCACAUGAAGGAAGCGAAAACGCACCAGACGCCUGAGCCUCAGCGACGGAAGGGAAGAAGAAGAAAAAGAAGAUGAUAUACCGGAAAUGGAGCCUGUUAACUGGACCAGUCGCGAUCUUGGGAGGCAUAGUAGGCACCGUAGUCGUCGGCCACUACCUUCUCAUUGAGAACGAUUGGAUGAAGUCGGAGCCCAGAAAGGCUGAAGCAUCCGCUUCAAGCAAAUAAGAGGAGGAAGGUGAAGAGUUGCAUUUUCAGUGCGACCCAAGCUUUUUAGCUUUCUGUCUAUAUAUCUUGAACAUGUUGUUCUACAAACUUGUGGUGAUGUUGCACUUUCAGAUGUGACUUGUUAGUUAAUAAUCCAGAAUUGAAAUGUGAGUUCUGAUUUGAAGGUUGUGGAGCAAAUUCCCUGCAUUUGUGUUCUCCGUUGUCCCAACAUUGCUUUGAUUUUGAAUCAAGCUAAGAAUCGAUGAAAUUCGAUUUGCUUUCGUUAUAAGUGCUUUCAUUUCAAGAGUUGAUGUGAUCAGUUUUUACCCUUUGGUUUAUUAGUUCAUUGUCUCCCAGCAAUAGUACUUAGAGAUAGAACUAGUGAGGCAGGGAGAGUGGUAAAUGGCUUCCUAAAGAUGAACUUUUGGAUUUCUACAUAAUGCUAGUAGUUUUGUUGUGUCAGGACGACUGGUAAAUAGACUGGUAAAUAGCUUCUUGAAUAUAAAUAUGCGUCCUUUUGCAUUCUUUUCUGUUCAGUAAAAACAGAUACUAGGCUUUUACAGAAAUGAAGGGAUUUUUAUCAUAGAUAAGUUAUGUGUAAUACAAAGGGUACAAGAUUUUGCAGCUUGGCCAAAGAAUCUGAAAUAGCAAAAAAAUAAAAAGUUCACACAUCGUUGCAAGCUCGCAAGCCUUCUCUACGUUUCAUGGCUUCCGGGUCAAUGGCUUCCCUGUUCUUUAAGGCACAGAAUUGCUCACAGGAUAAACAACCCCUGCAAAUGCUUAUGAAGUAUUUCCGAACCUUCAAUCCGAAAAACAAAACUUUGAUUCCGGCCAAGAAUUCUGAGAGGUCGAUAAGCCGAGGCAAGCACCAAUGCA